GAGUUUGAUCGUGGCUCAGAUUGAACGCUGGCGGAAUGCUUUACACAUGCAAGUCGAGCGGCAGCGCGGGGCAACCUGGCGGCGAGCGGCGAACGGGUGAGUAAUGCAUCGGAACAUGUCCAUGUCGUGGGGGAUAGCCCGGCGAAAGCCGGAUUAAUACCGCAUGUGCCCGAGAGGGGAAAGUGGGGGACCGCAAGGCCUCACGCGAUUGGGUUGGCCGAUGUCCGAUUAGCUAGUUGGCGGGGUAAGAGCCCACCAAGGCGAUGAUCGGUAGCUGGUCUGAGAGGAUGAUCAGCCACACUGGGACUGAGACACGGCCCAGACUCCUACGGGAGGCAGCAGUGGGGAAUUUUGGACAAUGGGGGCAACCCUGAUCCAGCCAUUCCGCGUGAGUGAAGAAGGCC
rnacentral:rRNA from 1 species